UGAUUCUGAGAAGAAAUCUACCACCACUCUCUCUUUGUUUGCCGCUCUGUAUGGUGCGAAACUGAUGUAGGAGCAUGGGACCUUUUUUUCCCUCUCAAGAUUGACUUAAAGAACUCAGAUCCGGUAAAAGAUACAGACAACAUAAGCCCUUAAAACCUCUCGAAGCUCUCAUCUCUCUGAAUUUUUCUCCUUUUCUUUUGCAGUUUUAGCCGGAAAAAAAAUGAUUGCUUCAACAAUCUCAGCUCAGCUCAAUCUCAACCUCCCUCCUCUCCUAUACACUCCCUUCAAUACCCUCUUGGAAGCUACCAGACCCACAAGAAGAAAAUCAUCACUCUCUUCCCAUUUUCAUAUUAAGUCCAACCCCAAAUUGUGCUCCAACCGUACAGUGCUUACCAGGGUCUGUGGUGAUGGCGGUGGAAGUGGUGCCAUUGAUGCCAGUCCGCAACAAAAGAAUUAGAAUCUGAAGUUGAGAGCCAGCAGACAGAAAUACACGCCAUUCAAGUUGAAGAAGUUGGUCUUGCUAUAUCAGCAGCUUUUCGGUUACUCACAAAACUUCUCGAUUUGGAACAGUUUCGGCGCGCUAUAAACUCUGCCCAUUUCACUAAAUUGCUCCAUAAAAUCCUGAAAUCAAACAUUCCUCUUCGGUACAAAGAUUGGGUUGCUGCUUGUCUUGUUAAAAUCGACUCUUUGUAUGGUCCUAUUUCCAUCCUGGACUUCGAGUGUCCGAUCGACAUGGAAGUUACCCUUUACGAGAAGAUACCAAGACUAAUAGAGCAAAUCAGAUCUGCUUUCUCUCUAGAAGCACAAGAAGCUGCAGUUGUAGAACUCUACAGGAUAAUUUCCGAGGGAAUGGUAGAUGCCACUCGAACUGUUGCUUCUGAAGGAGGAAUAUUUCCGUUGGUGAAACUAAUAUUUCCGUUGGUGAAACUAAUAGAGGAAGUGAGAAGGCCGUCGAAGCAGCCUUAUCCAUACUAUAUAAUCUGAGCAUGGACAGCGAAAAUCAUGCUGCAAUUAUAGCUGCUGGGGCAGUGCCACCCUUAAGAAGAAUUAUUCUGUCGGAAAGGUCACAAUGGAAACGAGCUCUUCGUUUGCUGAGGAACUUACCUACAUGAUUAGAAAAAAAUCUGAAGUCCAUAGUUACCGGGAGACAGUAGCAAAGAAUUGAAUGCAUUUAUGACUCUUGAUAAAAUUUCACCCCCUUUGUAGAAUCACCUAAUGAAAUAUAUGAAUCUACAAAGAUGAGAUUUCUUCGAUGGGUCUUGUUAAGCUAUGGUGAUAUCAUGCCUCUAUUCGUAGUGCAGUUUAACUUGAUUUCCUUAUCC